GCCUAACACAUGCAAGUCGAACGAGACCUUCGGGUCUAGUGGCGCACGGGUGCGUAACGCGUGGGAAUCUGCCCUUGGGUUCGGAACAACAGUUGGAAACGACUGCUAAUACCGGAUGAUGACUUCGGUCCAAAGAUUUAUCGCCCAGGGAUGAGCCCGCGUAGGAUUAGCUUGUUGGUGAGGUAAAAGCUCACCAAGGCGACGAUCCUUAGCUGGUCUGAGAGGAUGAUCAGCCACACUGGGACUGAGACACGGCCCAGACUCCUACGGGAGGCAGCAGUGGGGAAUAUUGGACAAUGGGCGAAAGCCUGAUCCAGCAAUGCCGCGUGAGUGAUGAAGGCCUUAGGGUUGUAAAGCUCUUUUACCCGGGAUGAUAAUGACAGUACCGGGAGAAUAAGCCCCGGCUAACUCCGUGCCAGCAGCAGCGGUAAUAA
rnacentral:rRNA from 1 species